GAGGGAGCCUGAGAAACGGUUACCACAUCCAAGGAAGGCAGCAGGCGCGCAAAUUACCCAAUCCUGACACGGGGAGGUAGUGACAAUAAAUAACAAUACCGGGCUCUUUGAGUCUGGUAAUUGGAAUGAGUACAAUCUAAAUCCCUUAACGAGGAUCCAUUGGAGGGCAAGUCUUGUCAUGUCCCCGUUCCUGGAACUGGAAAUGGGACAUAGAUGUUUCAACAGAAAUGAGACUGCUUUGGUUCAGAUCAUGGGAAUUGAUCGUGAACAAGCAGUGAUCAGGAUGGAUCAUGAGGAAACUAAGUCUAGGUCUGGAAAUACACCAAGGGACUUAGUAGGAUUGAAUUAGAGGAAGAGAACAAGCUGGACGAGUGAUGAGACAGCUGGAAGAUGCGAGAAUCAAGCUCGGUCAGCUGGGCGAAGCUCAGACAAGCUUAGUGUAGCUCAGUGAAGUGUAGGUCAGCUCCAGCAGCUGGACUACUAGCUCAGUCAGCUGGGACAGCUGGGGAUCAGCUCAACUCAGCUAUAUGGAGUGUUGGAAGCUCAGACCAGUGUUUCAGUUCUGGGCAGCUCGGACAGCUGGGGAUCAGCUUAACUCAGCUCAACUCAGCUAGAUGGAGUGUUGGAAGCUCAGGCCAAGGAUGGCUAUGGGCCGGUGGGUUCUUGUGGUCAGGCCAUGGGCAUGGGCAAUCCGUGUGGCCUUGCUUUGGACAUUUCCAGGAGUGGUUUUACAGUUCCAGGGCGUCUGGUAACUGCCAAAGGCGAAAGGGUGCAAUCUGUACCAUUGAUUAAAUCAAUGGUCAAAAAUGAAACCGAAGGGAUGCAAUGGUUAGAAACGUAACCACCCCUUCUCCUAUAUAAAGAGAGCAAGUCCGUGCCUUUGCAGGCACACCCGGGCUUCCUCCUACAUCCUGUAACACAAAGAAAACCAGAGAAAAACAGAGAGAUGGUCGGAUUCAAGAAUCCAAUACCAAGAGGCAUUCAAAGGCAUCAAAGAGGCAGUUUUGGAGGGCAAUCAAGAGGGGAGUUGAGAACGACCCUCAGGUGAGUUUUGAUUAUUGUUUGCCACGCCAGGGCUUCUUCUAUACUCAUACAUAACACGAAAAUAGCCUGGGGAGAAGAUAGGAGGCCGGAACCCACUUCCAAUGGUUGAGGCAGCCUUGAAGGCAUAUGUGUGUAGAAAGGCAGUUCCAUGGCCAUUGAAGGGGGAAGUGAUGCAUGACCCUGUGAUGGUGUAUGAUCAUGGAUGAUCACGUCCUACGCUUCUUCUACAGCCUGGGGACACACGCCAGUGGUUAGGGGAGAAGGGAGGAAGCCGGACUCCACUCUUAGAGGCCAAGAUAGCCUUGAAGGUGGAUGCAGUGUAGAAAGUAGUUUCAUGGGAGUUCCAUGGAAGGGAUGAUGGGUGCGACCCUUGAAUGGAUCUUAUCAAUACUGGAAGUAUGUGAUAAGGAUUGAUAGAGGCGUGCACUGGAGGAGCAUGGCCGAACACAAUAAGAGGAGGCACAUGAUCUAAUUAGAUCAUGUAUAAGGUAACCGAUUUUAUAAUUACUUUCAAGUUAUGAUUCUGUCUCUUGUGGUGCGGUUAGAUUUGGGUUUAGUGAGAAAUUAAUCGAUUAGUUAUGGAACCAUCCAUGCAAUGACAGAUCCUUGUGUUAGGUUAUCGGAUCAUAUGCUUGUGUAAUGUGAAAUGUUUGUCACAUAUUAUUAUUGAUCAUAACGAAUGUUAGUUAUCAACCUUGGGUUGGUAACCUAUAUGCAAAGCAUUGGCUAAGAGCCUUAAAGAAGAGUCUAGCUAGUACUUGGUGGCGUGUACCAAAAGUACUGAGCUUGGGUGUUAUUAUUCAAGGAAGGCCGUGUGUGAUCUGAUCAUGGGUAAGGAUGGACAACCUAAUCCAUAGAUGAUGGGUCAAGGUGUUGGAUCUGACUGAUCAAAGGAUGCACCAGUUGUAAGAGCAGUAGUGAUCGACUUCAUUGGGACAUGGUUCCAUGGCCGGUUAGGUAUGUGUGAAGACUCAUCAGUUCUGGGUCAUGUGGGGUGGUUGGUUGAUUGACUUAGGAUCUGAUGGGCAUUGUUAGUCCAUGAGAUGGACUUGGUUUCAUAGGCUGAUAAGCUAAAGGAUGUUGAAUGAAGCAUGAGCCGGGAAGGGCCAAAUGCAUGUCCUUAGCUGUUUGAAGACUUCUCAAGGGUUACUUUAGUCAGUGGGGAUGGUUGGCUGAAUGACUAAGUACCUAGGGGAGUUGUUUUAUGUGUAAAGAAGCUGGAUGCAGUAUAUGGCAGCUGGCCAUAGCUAGGACUUAGCUAGCUCAGUUCGAGUGUGACAGCUCGAUCAGCUGAUUUACGAGUUCAUUCAGCUAGAGCAGCUGGGCCGAUGAGCUAACAAGGUCCGUGGAUAUGGCUAAGGUAUGAUCUAGUAACUCUUGCUUAGUUCUAGAUAGAAUGGACUAGGGGAAUGGAACCUCAGAUUCAUAUGACUUGAUUCGGGUAUAGGAUCAACCUUUGAGCUAGUUGGUAGUUGAGAGUACUAACCAUUAGCUGAGGUGAUUCGACCGGACGAGUAUUAGAUUGGUUAUAGACCAAUGGAUGAUGAUAUUUUUCCGCUGCAUAUGUGUUGUAUUGAUCUAAGCUAUGGAAUGACUAAGUAUACCAAACCCCAAGACAAGCGGUUAUAUCAGGUUUAGUGUUGGAAAUCAGCUUUGGUUACUUCAUACGUUCAAGGCAAGUGUGUAGUUGAUAGGUUGAUCUGCUUUAGCAUCUAUAGUGCUAUCUGCAAUCAAUAAUUCUAAAAUGGUGCUAAAGAUUGGUUAGAUUUUCAAGUUUAAAUCAAUAUAAGAUUAUAGUCCCUAUUUUCAAUAGCUAAGCAUAAUUUAUUAAAAUUCCUUUUAUAUAAGAAUAAAAUAAAUUAUAUCAGUAAGUCUCCCCCCAGACUUAAAUUACAUUGUCCCAGUGUAACUCAGCCGGAGUUAUGAUGGAAUAAUUCAUGAUGUACGAAAUGUAACAAGUAGGGAAGAUACAUCUGACCGGAUUAGAUAUCGAUCGAUGGGAAAAUGUUACAUCGAUUGUCGUGUGUUUGUCUAUGUCGAGCGAUGUCGAUGUCUCGUCGGCGGUCGAUAUUCAGGUCCUCCUACUUGGGUCUCCUAAAUCUGAAAGAAAUAAAACGAAAGUAAAUAAAUGCUAGCUAAUAAAAC